GACUUCCGCCCGAAAAAUUAUAUCGUUGCCUCAUCAAAUUUAACCCGGAUCAAUAUUGCCGUAACAGUAACUAAUAUUAAUACCGUUUAAUCAUAUGAUUGAAUGUGUGCAUCGUACGAAAACUGAUAAAAUAUUAGGUUUUUCGAACGAUUCGGGAUCGCGGUUCCAGUCAACAGAUCGAAAGUAUUACCGCGGAACUGCGACGGAGGAAACGAUAAUAAUAUUCUCUCGUAUAUUAUUGUGUCACUCGGCACUCUACGCGGAAAAGUUCGCGCACUAAACGUAUUUUUAGGAACAAAUCCUGCUGCUGUUGCUGUCGGGUUGACAGAUAAUAGUCAUC